UACGGGGGGAGCAAGCGUUGUUCGGAUUUACUGGGCGUAAAGGGCGCGUAGGCGGCCACCGCAAGUCAGUUGUGAAAUCUCUGGGCUUAACCCAGAAAGGUCAACUGAUACUGCGGGGCUAGAGUGCAGAAGGGGCAACUGGAAUUCUCGGUGUAGCGGUGAAAUGCGUAGAUAUCGAGAGGAACACCAGUGGCGAAGGCGACUUCCUGGCCUGUUCUUGACGCUGAGGCGCGAAAGCUAGGGGAGCAAACGGG
rnacentral:rRNA from 1 species